AACGCACAUUGCGCCCUGUGGUAUUCCGCAGGGCAUGCCUGUUCGAGCGUCAUUUCAACCCUCAAGCCCUGCUUGGUGUUGGGCCCUGCCCGCCGCGGCCGGCCCUAAAGUCAGUGGCGGCGCCGUCCGGCUCUAAGCGUAGUACACCUCUCGCUCUGGAGCCCCGCGGUAGCUUGCCAGAACCCCAAAUCUUAUGGUUGACCUCGGAUCAGGUAGGGAUACCCGCUGAACUUAA
rnacentral:misc_RNA from 1 species